AGGGCACCACCAGGAGUGGAGCCUGCGGCUUAAUUUGGCUCAACGCGGGAAAACUCACCCGGCCCGGACACCGUAAGGAUUGACAGAUUGAUAGCUCUUUCUUGAUUCGGUGGUUGGUGGUGCAUGGCCGUUCUUAGUUGGUGGAGCGAUUUGUCUGGUUAAUUCCGAUAACGAACGAGACUCUAGCCUACUAAAUAGUGGCUGAAUUUUUAGUUCAGCCUACUUCUUAGAGGGACAAGGGGUAUCUAGCCCCACGAGAUUGAGCAAUAACAGGUCUGUGAUGCCCUUAGAUGUCCGGGGCUGCACGCGCGCUACACUGAAGGAGUCAACAUGCGUGGAAACCUAGUCUGGAAAGACCGGGUAACCCUAUGAAACUCCUUCGUGAUAGGGAUAGGGAAUUGUAAUUAUUUCCCUUGAACGAGGAAUUCCUAGUAAAUGCGGGUCAUCAUCUCGCGUUGAUUACGUCCCUGCCCUUUGUACACACCGCCCGUCGCUACUACCGAUUGGAUGUUUCGGUGA
rnacentral:rRNA from 1 species